rnacentral:lncRNA from 1 species
CCUGGGCAGGCCGAUUGCCCAGGUGGAGGAGGUGGAGGUGAAGGACAAAAUCAACCUGGUGCGCCUGCGCUACGAGGGCGCGGUCAAGGACGGGCUCGACGACCCUACCAAGGUUCUGCUGUCGAAGGUGCACAAGGCCGCGCAGCUGCAGCUGGGCGAGGACCGGCUGUCGGUGACGGGGCACAAGGGCUUCCGCACCGCGCGCGCCAGCCACGGCGCGCACGAGGGCGCGCUCUACUGCGAGGUGCGCAUCACGCGGCUCGGCCGCACCGGCCACGCGCGCGUGGGUUGGUGCACGCGGCGCGCGGAGCUGCAGGCGCCGGUGGGCUACGACACCUUCGGCUUCGCCUUCCGCGACGUGGACGGCAGCAAGGUCAGCAACGGCCUGCGCGAGCCCUACAUGCCGGGUGGGGCGGGCUUCCGCGAGGGCGACGUGGUGGGCAUGUAUAUCCACCUGCCGCCCGGCGGCCGCACGCUGGAGCCGCAGCAGAACGAGUACGCCAAGUACAAGGGGCGCUGGAUGCGCAUCGAGGACCCCGAGCCCGACCCGCUGCCGCUGCCCGGCUCCGUCAUCGCCUUCGCCGUCAACGGCGUCAACGCGGGCGUGGCCUUCCGCGACUUCAACGAGGGCACGUACUACCCCGCCGCCUCGCUUUACACCAUGCCGGAGCAGACCGACGGCGCCA